UACGAAGGGGGCUAGCGUUGUUCGGAUUUACUGGGCGUAAAGCGCACGUAGGCGGAUCGAUCAGUCAGGGGUGAAAUCCCAGAGCUCAACUCUGGAACUGCCUUUGAUACUGUCGAUCUGGAGUAUGGAAGAGGUGAGUGGAAUUCCGAGUGUAGAGGUGAAAUUCGUAGGAUAUUCGGAGGAACACCAGUGGCGAAGGCGGCUCACUGGUCCAUUACUGACGCUGAGGUGCGAAAGCGUGGGGGAGCAAACAGG
rnacentral:rRNA from 1 species